AAUUUUUAAGAAAAAAAUAUUAAUGGUUCUUAUAAUUAAAUAUAAAAAAUUUGAUAAUCAGCAUUUUAUAUUUUUUAUAUUUUUAUUUUUACAGAUGACAUUUGGUGUUUCCACUCAGGGAGGCUGCUCUGAGUAUAACCUUCCUUCUGCACCAUAUUUCACUGCUGCAUUCAGUUACUCCCCCAAGUGGAGUGCAGCUCCAGAACACCCACCAUGGCAACACCAAACACCUUGCAACCACAGGCCUUAGACAGCACUUGUUAUGUGAAGGACAAGCUAUGACUGCCACCAAUGGUGAGGUCCCUUGUGGUGACCCUCGCUUGUCUUGCAUACACAUGAAUAGAAAAGGAUGACCAGUGCGUUUCUUACCUGUGUUGUGUUCUGUGUUGAUAUUUGAACACUUGGAUGCAUUAUUCACUCAUCGGUCUGUUCUAAAUCGUAACCAGUUUACAUCAUAAUCUAUGCUACUGUCAUCACCAUGUUAACCCAUAUACUGUCAUUUUUUGUUGACAUUGUUAUAUGUGUGACUCCCAAGCCCAUUUCGUUUCUAUGAUAUUGUUGCUAUUGUUGUGAAAAAAAUUUUAUCUCCUAUAGUAUGCUCAGUAUAUUCAGAGUGGCCCUACUUUUUAAAUGUUUUAAAAGGGGAAAAUGAAUAAUCUCCACAAUUCGGGAUGCCAAGCAACAGGCAGAUGUCUUCUCAGUCUUACCAUUAGAAGCUUUUAGUCAACAAAUUUCUGUGAAUGUUAAUAGUAGUAUCAUGUUCAUUCUGAAAUAGAAACCCUUGUAUUGUAUCUUGUAAAUUUCCAUGGCAAGACUCAUGAGCCAUGUUGAUCAAUUAUAUUACUUGACAAACAGCCAGGCUAUGUUAUUCUGUGGGACUUUAUUCUGCCUGGUGUUCUAUUUGUGAUUGUCUAUGUAUUAUAAAGACAGAGGCCAAAUGGCAGGCUACCUCUUAGAGUUUUGCCUAGGCCUGGUUCCUUUUGUGACUGUCCAAAAAACUGGCAGUGAUACACUGUUGGAUGAUAUGAAUAUGAAAGUAAAAAAAAAUAAAUAACACAAUAAGCAAUAUCACCAUCCAGACUUAACAUAGUGAUCAGAGCCAGUUUCCCCACAAUCCCAUCAGUUCCUGUCUUACCAUGAUGUAACCCUUCGUGUUUUCCCAUCUUGGGAACAGGAGUGGCCUACCUGUAGCAUCUGUCCACUGGUUCCUAAUAAGAUACUCCCAGAAAACUGGAGUUUUAUUGUAUCUGUAUACGGACCCCUUUAUGCAUGUAUUCUAUGUAAAAGUGAUGCACUAGAUGUGGUUAGUGUAUCAACUGGAUGUGGUUCUCCACAAAACAAAGCAAUAGUAACCAUUGUUGUUUCAUGUAUGCCGAACAUGUACAGUUGUUACAAGGCAAGAGACCUAUAAAAUAUUUCAUACUUUGAUAUUAUUUUUUGCUUUCAGUAGUAAUUGCCAGAAUUCACAUAAUCCCGUAUCUUAUGGGUUCAUGGCAAUCCUGAUCCCAUCCUUAACAAAAUUUUUGUAAUGGCAAUUAGAUAGCACAUAUAUUUAUUCUUACUUUACCAUAAUAAAUUAAAGUACAUAAAUGAAUAAUCAACGAGUGAUGGUAAUACAAAGAAAUAACAUGGUAAAGCUUGAAAGCUGAAAUGAAAGCAAUAUUAAAAACACUUUCAUGUUAUUUGUGAGGCCUUUCAGGAUAAAAAAAA
rnacentral:lncRNA from 1 species